rnacentral:rRNA from 1 species
UACGUAGGCAGCGAGCGUUGUUCGGAGUUACUGGGCGUAAAGGGUGUGUAGGCGGUUGUUUAAGUUUGGGGUGAAAUCUCCCGGCUCAACUGGGAGGGUGCGCCGAAUACUGAAUGACUAGAGUGUGGGAGAGGUGAGUGGAAUUCCUGGUGUAGCGGUGAAAUGCGUAGAUAUCAGGAGGAACACCGGUGGUGUAGACGGCUCACUGGACCAUAACUGACGCUGAGACACGAAAGCGUGGGUAGCAAACAGG